rnacentral:lncRNA from 1 species
UGACUUGGCUAAGGCAUAAACUUUUCCUAGAUAUAGAUCUGAAAAUUGAGACUUUGAGAGUAAGAGACUGAGACAAAGAGACGACGACGACACUAGACUUCGAUAGUUUGAUCGAUCGACCACGCCGACUGUGAAGCUUCUUCUCUUCGUCCCGAAUCCACAUUCUCAUUCUGUGAGACCAAUUUCUCUUUGGAAUCUGGGUAAUUUUCUCUCUAUAUAUAUAAUAUAUCUCAGUGUUGAAUACGGGUAGAAGGUUUGAGUUACUAUAAUAUAUCUCAGUGUUGUAGUUUUUUUCCUUUAUAUGAUUUUUCUGGUCAUUAUAUAAAAGUAAACUACAAUUUUGUUGAUAUGUUUUUGUUUUCUUCUUUAUUUCGGCUAUAUAUUGUAACUAUUGUUUGAAGACAGUAAGUUCCAUCCAUUUAUGUUAGUUGUUGCUUGUGCCCUUCUCUACUAAAUAUGAUAUUUUGUACUAACGUGUAAUAAUAUGAUGUUAUUCUCAAUCUCAUGCUGUAUACUAUACAAGGACUAGAAUAUUUUUUUCAUUUUUUUUGAAAGAAAAAAAAUAAUGUUUGAUACUGUAUUUAGGAAGCUGCACAUUUUUUGAAAUUACACUGCUUUCUUAUCAUUGUUCUUUGUAUAUAUAAUACGAACUUGGUGAUGUUUGAGAUUGGAAUAUGCAUUUUUCCUGAAUUUACCUUUAACCUUUCUAUGAUUCUUAUGAUCACUUUAUAAAUGAAAUGACCUCCAAAAUGGGAAUAUAUUAGAACACUCAGUUUGUUAUUAGCUUCUAGAAGUAGCAGGCCAUGCAACUGCAUCAUAGCAGUUAGUGGGUAGAGAGCUUUGUGUUCUUUUCCAAAGUAUCUGUUACUCUGUAUCAGCCUUGGCCUUAGAUAAUCCUUUAUAUAUCUUGUAUCUAGCUCUAUGAGAAGUCAUGUAUAUGAAAUGAAUCGAAUCUAGAGAUCACUCUUUUGAGGCAAUCUCUGUCUUAUUUUUCAAUUUUUUCUGUCCUGUUCUUGCCUAUCUCACCUCAACUUUAAUCUAUUUAUUUUCUUCUUCCGAAAAUUGAAUUAGUCAAGCUCCAUCAAGGCUUGACAGAAGACAUUAUGUAUAAAUUUUCCUAUUGAAAUGAAAGUUAGACAGCCUUUCCCCCCUUUUUAUGUGGAUUUAUCAUUAGAGUGAAACUAGCUUUCUGAAAAACUUUUCUUGAAAAUGUUUAUUGAUUUCUAAUAUGAUUUAUUGAUUUUUGGAUGUCAUAGACUCAUAGAUUUGGUUUUGGUUUUUUGUUUGUAGAGUUCUUAUGGAUCAGGUAACAAUUGAUUUGAUUGAUGGGGGAGUUGAAAGCUCGGACAAUUUGACACAACCAAUUGACAGUUCGAAGAGAAAACGAAGGGAAGAAAGUUCAAUUUGGAAUCAAUAUGAAAAAAAGG